rnacentral:rRNA from 1 species
GGAAUCUUGCGCAAUGGGCGAAAGCCUGACGCAGCGACGCCGCGUGAGCGAUGAAGGCCUUCGGGUUGUAAAGCUCUGUGGGGAGGGAAGAAUAAGCCUAGGCGACUAGCUCUAGGUGAUGACGGUACCUCCUUAGCAAGCACCGGCUAACUCUGUGCCACCAGCCGCGGUAAGACAGAGGGUGCAAACGUUGGUAGGAAUUACUGGGCGUAAAGCGCGUGUAGGCGGCUGUGCAAGUCGGGCGUGAAAGCCCACGGCUCAACCGUGGAAGUGCACUCGAAACUGCGUAGCUAGAGUCCCGGAGAGGAAGGUGGAAUACUUGGUGUAGAGGUGAAAUUCGUAGAUAUCAAGUGGAACACCGGUGGUGAAGGCGGCCUUCUGGACGGUGACUGACGCUGAGACGCGAAAGCGUGGGGAGCAAAC